rnacentral:rRNA from 1 species
AGUGGCGCACGGGUGAGUAACGCGUGGGUAAUCUACUUUUAAGACUGGGAUAACAUUUCGAAAGGGAUGCUAAUACCGGAUAAGACCACGAAGUCUUUGGACUAUGAGGUAAAAGGUGGCAGCUUGUCUGCUAUCGCUUAGAAAUGAGCCCGCGUACCAUUAGCUUGUUGGUAGGGUAAUGGCCUACCAAGGCUACGAUGGUUAGCUGGUCUGAGAGGAUGAUCAGCCACACUGGAACUGGAACACGGUCCAGACUCCUACGGGAGGCAGCAGUGGGGAAUUUUGCGCAAUGGGGGAAACCCUGACGCAGCAACGCCGCGUGAGUGAUGAAGGCCUUCGGGUUGUAAAGCUCUGUCAGUUAGGAAGAAAUGCCUAUGUUAACUGCAUAGGCUAUGACGGUACUAACAGAGGAAGCACCGGCUAACUCCGUGCCAGCAGCCGCGGUAAUACGGAGGGUGCAAGCGUUGUUCGGAUUUACUGGGCGUAAAGAGCGUGUAGGUGGCUUUAUAAGUCAGGUGUGAAAGCCCUCGGCUUAACCGGGGAAGUGCACUUGAAACUGUAAGGCUUGAGUACGGGAGAGGGAAGUGGAAUUCCUAGUGUAGAGGUGAAAUUCGUAGAUAUUAGGAAGAACACCGGUGGCGAAGGCGACUUCCUGGACCGAUACUGACACUGAGACGCGAAAGCGUGGGGAGCAAACAGGAUUAGAUACCCCGGUAGUCCACGCCGUAAACGAU